AAGGAUCAUUAAUGAAUUCACUAUGGAGUUGUUGCUGGCCUCUAGGGGCAUGUGCACACUUCACUAGUCUUUCAACCACCUGUGAACUUUUGAUAGAUCUGUGAGGUCGUCUCUCAAGUCGUUAGACUUGGUUUGCUGGGAUGUAAACGUCUCGGUGUGACUACGCAGUCUAUUUACUUAUAACACCCCAAAUGUAUGUCUACGAAUGUCAUUUAAAGGGCCUUGUGCCUAUAAACCAUAAUACAACUUUCAACAACGGAUCUCUUGGCUCUCGCAUCGAUGAAGAACGCAGCGAAAUGCGAUAAGUAAUGUGAAUUGCAGAAUUCAGUGAAUCAUCGAAUCUUUGAACGCACCUUGCGCCCCUUGGUAUUCCGAGGGGCAUGCCUGUUUGAGUGUCAUUAAAUUCUCAAACUCACUCUGGUUUUUCCAAUUGUGAUGUUUGGAUUGUUGGGGGCUGCUGGCCUUGACAGGUCGGCUCCUCUUAAAUGCAUUAGCAGGACUUCUCAUUGCCUCUGCGCAUGAUGUGAUAAUUAUCACUCAUCAAUAGCACGCAUGAAUAGAGUCUGGCUCUCUAACCGUCCGCAAGGACAAUUUGACAAUUUGACCUCAAAUCAGGUAGGACUACCCGCUGAACUUAA
rnacentral:rRNA from 1 species